rnacentral:rRNA from 1 species
UAAUACGUAGGGUGCAAGCGUUGUCCGGAAUUAUUGGGCGUAAAGAGCGUGUAGGCGGCCCGAUUAGUCCGCUGUGAAAGUCCAGGGCUCAACCCUGGAAUGCCGGUGGAUACUGUCGGGCUAGAGUCCGGAAGGGGCGAGUGGAAUUCCUGGUGUAGCGGUGAAAUGCGCAGAUAUCAGGAGGAACACCAAUGGCGAAGGCAGCUCGCUGGGACGUGACUGACGCUGAGACGCGAAAGCGUGGGGAGCAAACAGGAUUAGAUACCCUGGUAGUCCACGCUGUAAACGAUGGCAACUAGAUGUGGGGGGUGUCGACUCCCCCCGUGUCGAAGCUAACGCAUUAAGUUGCCCGCCUGGGGAGUACGGCCGCAAGGCUA